AACGAACGCUGGCGGCAUGCCUAACACAUGCAAGUCGAACGAGACCUUCGGGUCUAGUGGCGCACGGGUGCGUAACGCGUGGGAACCUGCCCUUAGGUUCGGAAUAACUCCCCGAAAGGGGUGCUAAUACCGGAUAAUGUCUUCGGACCAAAGAUUUAUCGCCUUUGGAUGGGCCCGCGUUGGAUUAGCUAGUUGGUAGGGUAAAAGCCUACCAAGGCGACGAUCCGUAGCUGGUCUGAGAGGAUGAUCAGCCACACUGGGACUGAGACACGGCCCAGACUCCUACGGGAAGCAGCAGUGGGGAAUAUUGGACAAUGGGCGAAAGCCUGAUCCAGCAAUGCCGCGGGAGUGAUGAAGGCCUUAGGGUUGUAAAGCUCUUUUACCCGGGAUGAUAAUGACAGUACCGGGAGAAUAAGCUCCGGCUAACUCCGUG
rnacentral:rRNA from 1 species